rnacentral:tmRNA from 1 species
GGGGGCGACUUGGUUUCGACGUGGAUUACAAAGCUUUAUAGUGCAUGUCGAGCAUAGUAGCUAAGCUCGUUAAACCUGUUACUACUGUUAUAGUUGCAAACAACGAUAGCAUCCUCGCUGAACAAGCUGCCUAAACAGUAGCUUAGCGCCAUUGGCCAGAUGUGCUUGUGCAUCUGUUCCCAGUGGUCAUUUCUCACAAGAUCGCUAGUAGGGGUGUCUGCCGUCAACUAGUUAAACUUUGCAGAAUCGCAGUUUGAUUACCCUGCCUGUUGGGUAACAAGGUGUUAAAACCAAGAAUAUGGCUAAACAUGUAGAGCUGAAAGUCGAGGAUUUGCGGACGCGGGUUCAAUUCCCGCCGCCUCCACCA